rnacentral:rRNA from 1 species
CCUACGGUAGGCAGCAGUGAGGAAUAUUGGUCAAUGGACGCAAGUCUGAACCAGCCAUGCCGCGUGCAGGAAGACGGCUCUAUGAGUUGUAAACUGCUUUUGUACGAGGGUAAACGCAGAUACGCGUAUCUGUCUGAAAGUAUCGUACGAAUAAGGAUCGGCUAACUCCGUGCCAGCAGCCGCGGUAAUACGGAGGAUUCAAGCGUUAUCCGGAUUUAUUGGGUUUAAAGGGUGCGUAGGCGGUCUGAUAAGUUAGAGGUGAAAUCCCGAGGCUCAACUUCGGAAUUGCCUCUGAUACUGUUCGGCUAGAGAGUAGUUGUGGUAGGCGGAAUGUAUGGUGUAGCGGUGAAAUGCUUAGAGAUCAUACAGAACACCGAUUGCGAAGGCAGCUUACCAAGCUACUUCUGACGUUGAGGCACGAAAGCGUGGGGAGCAAACAGGAUUAGAUACCCUAGUAGUC